CGCGNCUCUCCGGCAGCCUCGCCGACCGUUUCCGAAAGGCUCGGCGCCCGCGCACGACGCGUCGGUCACGAACUCCGGCAGCGGCGCCCCGCUCUGCGGCGAGUAGGUCGGCGACCCAUCCGACCCGUCUUGAAACACGGUCCAAGGAGUCUAACAUGUGAGCGAGUGAUCGGGUGUCACGAGACCCGGACGCACAAUGAAAGUGAAGGCCCGGAUUGCCGGGCCGAGGGGCGAUCCCUCCCCCCCGCGGGAGGGCGCAGCCCCGGGACGCGCCGAUCGCAUCGUCGACGGCUCGUACCCAGAGCGUACACGUUGGGACCCGAAAGAUGGUGAACUAUGCCUGGCCAGGACGAAGUCAGAGGAAACUCUGAUGGAGGUCCGUAGCGAUUUUGACGUGCAAAUCAAUCGUCCGAGCUGGGUAUAGGGGCGAAAGACUAAUCGAACCAUCUAGUAGCUGGAUCCAUCCGAAGUUUCCCUCAGGAUAGCUGGCGCUCGCANGACCGAGUUUCAUCCGGUAAAGCGAAUGAUUAGAGGCCUUGGGGCCGAAACGANCUCAACCUAUUCUCAAACUUUAAAUGGGUGAGAAGUCGGGCUUGCUCGACUGAAGCACCGACCNUNGAAUCNAGAGUGCCAAGUGGGCCACUUUUGGUAAGCAGAACUGGCGCUGUGGGAUGAACCAAACGCAGAGUUAAGGUGCCCGAGAGAACGCUCAUCAGAUCCCAUGAAAGGUGUUGGUUGCUAUAGACAGCAGGACGGUGGCCAUGGAAGUCGGAA
rnacentral:rRNA from 1 species